rnacentral:lncRNA from 1 species
GAGAUUGUUCGAGAGGCUUAUAGGCAUUACCAGGAGAAUAUGAAAACAUAAUUAUUUUGAAUAAGACAUUCAUAAAUGAGAAAUUUUCAUUUUUAUUUACUAUAAUACAAUCUUAAAUGAUCAAAAUAUCAUACAUGAGAGACAUUAUUUCCCUUCAUAUCUUAUAGAUGAUAGGUAUUCGUCUUUACUACUCUUAUGACUUUAAAAUAACCAUCUUAUUUUGGAGCUAGCUUACCCCUACUUUCUCUGUUGCCUAUAGCCUCUAAUUUUUUAAGGAC